rnacentral:rRNA from 1 species
GAUGAACGCUAGCUACAGGCUUAACACAUGCAAGUCGAGGGGAAACGAUAUUGGAAGCUUGCUUCCGAUAGGCGUCGACCGGCGCACGGGUGAGUAACGCGUAUCCAAACUGCCCACCACUUGGGGAUAACCUUGCGAAAGUAAGACUAAUACCCAAUGAUAUCCAUAGAAGACAUCUGAAAUGGAUUAAAGAUUUAUCGGUGAUGGAUGGGGAUGCGUCUGAUUAGCUUGUUGGCGUGGUAACGGCCCAACAAGGCGACGAUCAGUAGGGGGUCUGGGAGGAAGGUCCCCCACAUUGGAACUGAGACACGGUCCAAACUCCUACGGGAGGCAGCAGUGAGGAAUAUUGGUCAAUGGGCGAGAGCCUGAACCAGCCAAGUAGCGUGCAGGAUGACGGCCCUAUGGGUUGUAAACUGCUUUUAUAAGGGAAUAAAGUGGGAGUCGUGACUCCUUUUGCAUGUACUUUAUGAAUAAGGACCGGCUAAUUCCGUGCCAGCAGCCGCCGUAACAC